UAGCCAGGCCUGGAUACUUACUUAGUAUUUCUUCUUAGAAAUAUCUGAUAAUUCUAUCCACAGUGUUUUCUGUACACUGCUAACGUAUGCAGCAUUUGAAAAAAAAAACAACGGAUGUAAUAAAAUGCUCUCAACAAACUGGGUUUCUCUCUCUCUCUCUGGCUUCCCCUUGAUUUGCAUUUGGGCUGGACAGCUUUGCUUCUUUUUUUGACAAGGGAGGGGGGUCCCGGAUGUGUGUUGAUUCUCUCAUUGCAGGUUUCUGCUGCUUCUGAGCCACGGAGGUAGGACGACAGAAGGAUCUCCAUAAGGUGGAGGACGAAGCAUCAGCAAAGACGGCAGUGGGCUGCUUUUAUUCGGAGGGAGACCCAUUUUUUUGCCACACCGUGUGCCAGCCUUUGCUCAGCAAAAGUCCUCUUUGAUCCGAAGGGCUGCUUCCCGCUAGGCGAGGAAAGAGGAAGCCGACCGUUUUCCUUUGAGGCUUCGACCGGCUUCGCGUCGGUUCCCACUCCUGGCGUCUCCCCUUUCCAAAACCUGUGCUGUGCUGGGUCUCCCGAAAAAAAGUCGAAGGAGAAGACUGGCUUGGAAAAGAGGUGGAGGAGAUAGGACUCUCUUUAGGCCGGAGGCUGGCCGUCGGUGUCGGCCGAGAUGCGGACAGGCCCUUUCAGUAGGAAAACAUGGCGCCUGCCCAGCCCCACAGGAGGGUAACCUUAGGUGUGGGAGCUGAAAAGCAGGCAGCCGCCGGUCCAAAUGAAGCCACAAAUUUGAUCCGAGAGGGAGAAGGGGUGUCCCGUCCCACCCGCUUCCAUGAGUGACGCCUGCAAAGGAUGUUGGAGGCUGGCACGCUUUGAGCCCGGAAGCCUUCGGGAAGGGUCCUGCUGAGGCCAAGUCUGCUCCCGACAGGGCCAAAGGGACACCACGGCUGGUUGAUCUUGUAAGAGCCAUCCACCUCUGAUGGAGCCAUGGGCCAGAUCCUUGGGAAGGUCUCCCACGAUCCCCAGAUCCCCGCGGCAUUUCGGCUCCUCUCCUCCUGGCUUGGCGUCGGCUUGGACGGACAGCUCUCCGGAUCAAGAGGCAUCUUUUCUGAAGCCCGUCCGGCGUUUCCUUCCCCCGUGGUGGAAGAACGCUUUCCGGGGAUGGUGGAGACGGCCCCAUGCCGAGACCUCCCUUCCGACCUACACCCCAAAAGAUUUCCGGAGCUCUCCACCGGCGUCCCCGGUUUUGGAACGCCCGAAGAGGAUGGUGUCUGAGGGCCUCGAGAGCCUCAGCAAAGACACGAAGCAGGGAAGCGUCAGCAGUGGAGACGAUGACGAGAAGGUCCCCCUGGCCUCCUCCACCGAUCAGCAGUUGGGCAAGGCGGUGCCGACCCCCAGGAGCCAGGGUGGGAGGUCCACUCCUCCCCCGGGCUACCAGGGGAAGCUUGAAGCUUAUGAGAGCAAAUACGCCUACAUGAAAUCGUGGCCGGGCCUCCUGAGGCUGAUGGGGGCUCUGGAGCUGAUCUUGGGCGGGAUGGCUUUUGCCUGCACAGCGGCUUAUCUCCAGAAGGACUACCAGUGGUCCCAGCUCUACGGGGGUGGCCAGUGGCCCUAUGGUGGGGCCGUGGGUGCCGGGUACAGCUACUACGGCCCGAUGACGGCCUUUGUGCUGGCGGUGGCCAGCCUGGCGUGGCUGGUGACCGUCAUCCUGCUGGGCCUGGGGGUGACCAUGUACUACCGGACCAUCCUCCUGCGGGCCCAUUGGUGGCCGCUGACUGAGUUUGGCCUCAACCUCUUCCUCUCCCUGCUCUACCUGGCCGCCUCCCUCGCCUACGUCCACGACAUCAACCGCGGGGGCCUCUGCUACUCGAUCCUCGCCACCAACCCGCUGGUGGCGGCCAUCUGCCGGGUGGGCGGGGGCCAGGUGGCCGCCCUCACCUUCCUCUUCCUGAACACCUUGCUCUACCUGGCCGGCGCGCUCGUCUGCCUCCGGAUGUGGAGCCACGAAGGUGGCCGGAGGGGCCCGCCAGUGCAGCCAAAGCUUGUCCUCUUGCGAGAGGCCCCCAAGCCUGCAGCCUCCUUGGGGGCCACCCCUCGGCCUCCCGGGACGUCCAUACGGCGGGUGGAGUUCUCCGAGAAGAGUGAGGAUCCGGAGAGGCUGAAUUACGCCAUCCCGACCGGAUACAACCCCAAGCCUCACAUCGUCCCGGAUUAUAUUAUGAAGUACCCGGCCGUCAGAAGCGCAGAGGAGCGGGAGAAGUACAAAGCCGUCUUCAGCGAUCAAUACGGCGAAUACAAGGAACUUCACCGUGAGAUCCAGGCAGCCCUGCAGAAGUUCAGACUGCUGGACGAGGCGAUGGCCAAGCUGCCCCGCCGGUACCAGAGCCAGAAGGAGCAAAGGCGUGCCUCGGCUUUGCGGAAAGAAUACGAACGCAAGAAGAAGGACCCGGCUUUCCUGGAGAAGCAAGAGCGUUGCGAAUACCUGAAGAGGAAGCUGGCUCACCUCAAGGGCCAGAUCCAGGCCUACGACCGUGAGAACGGCGAGGGAGGCUCCUCCGUCUACUUCUGACUUACGCCUCCCCCCCUCUCCCGAGCGGACACGGAACAGCUCUCCCCCCCCCAAAAAAAACCACCCGAUGUUUCUCUUUGCUGAAAAUGGGGAGGGUUUAUUUUUUUUCAGGGCUGGUGGGAGGGGAAUCUUUCUUCAGAGAAAACCCACUGCUCUCUGGACAAGGAAAGCUUUUCUGCAUUUGGGGACAGUUUCAGAAAGACCGUUUCCCAUUGGGGCGAGCAUUAAAAAAGAAACCCGUCUUAGGAUUUGUAGCAGGAUGGCAUAAACUCUCUCCUGGCUGAGGGUUGUGUUUAUUUUAUUUUAUUUUAUUUCAUUGGCUGAAAAUAAAAGAGGAAUAAUGCUAUAAGGAACCAUGCCAUGAAUGAGCUUUCUCACCGAGAAAACGUUGUCAUGAAUAGCGACAAGGGAUUUCCAUUUUUGAGCACCGCAAUGAGUAACGGGAGGAGGGCUUGUUUUUAAAAACGCACAACCCCCAUCAUCCGCUCACUGCCUGUUUUUUUCUUUCCCCCCCCGGGGACGAUGGGAGGGGCCAUUCCCUUUUGGGAAGUGGAGGUAACCGCAAAGUUUGGAAGCCUCCAGGGACUGAUUAAGUAAACCGAUGGAGGGGAGGCUUAAUCUUUCCAGCUUUUCCCACCCCACCAACCCCUCGGUCUUCAAAGGCUGAGCCCUGCAGAGUUGCAUUCCAGUCUCGGAGUCAUGAGGUGGCCGGGGAGGGGGGCAGAGCGGACUUGGCAAUGUCCACACAUACACCACGCAGAAAACCGGGCUGGCCCUGGGCAGAAGCGGUCCACUGGAUGAGCCGGCACAGCUUGGCCACUUCCCCAGAGCCGUUUUGCACCCUGGGUUUGACAGGAACACAUCAGGUGUGGCGCCCUCGCCUCUCCGGGUCAUUUCACCUUUCUCGAUUCUCCUCCACACCCAAGGAAUUAGGGACUCCCAGCAGUGGCUAGUAGGUGGAAAAACCAAAACAACCACCCAAGGCAUCUAUUUUUUGAUAUGUGGGUUUGUUGCAGGAGGCUCUGAAGUUCUGGGAGCAAGAAGGUGAGCCAGGAAGACAUUUUAAAGGGAAUGGAGUAAAACUGAGAAACAGUGGAAGAAACUUAAGGGCAAAAACCGGGAAGAUGCCAGCCAUGGAACGGGAAGCAAAAAAGUGCAGAUUGUUACAGCUGAUCCUUCAGGAUAAAAUGGAGGAGGAGAAUCUGUUGGCCAAAAAAGUUACUCUUAUCUUUUUCCUUUUGGGGGGUAAUUAAGUUACUUGGACAAAGUUACUCUUGUAUUUCCCUUUUGUGUAGUUAAGUUACCUGGAAAAAAUUCCUCUUUUCAUUGUUUUGUGUAAUUAAGGCCUAGUCAAGUUAUGUUUUGGAAAUACUGGGACUUUUAUGCUCAGGUGGCAAACGCAACACCCACCCACCCCCAAGUGGCCCCGAGUCUGUCCCGGCCACGUCGGCCAGGAAGGAGCGGGCGUUCCAAGGGAUUAAAAGCUUAGCAGCUGGUUUGUGGUGUGUUGUGUUCUUUGCUUCCUCACUCCGGGUGGCCGCUUGGCAGAGGCCGGGCCGGCACUUUCCGGCACCGACGCUCUCGGUGCAGACGGAUGCAGGACGAGACGGAGGUCCACCCCGCCUGGAGGUGUCGGCUCCGAUUUUGCACGCUGGACUAAAGACGCGGCCGCCAAGCCCUGAAGCAGAAGGGGGAGGGGGACGCCUUCAGUUUCAGUCAACACCUUCUGCUUGGAUCGCCCUCGAAUCGGGUUCCAGAGACCCUGCGGUGGAAGAGAAAAACCUGCCCUUUCUUGGGGCCCCCUUGAAAAUAAUGAGCACCCCCACGGCCAGCGGGUAGUGGCCUGCCCGCCGAGAACCACCGAGAGGUUGUCGGGCUGACCCAGCCGUUGGCGGUCUUCGGCGCUGGGACUCCGCGGCCCAUGACUCUCCCCCGCCGCUGAGGGCCGCCGGGCGCGAGGCACCAUGUACCC